CCCGAUCAAGUGCUAGGGCCAACGCGUCGUACAGGAGCCCCAGUUCCGCCGAUUCGUACCGCAGUCGUUUCGGCUCUAUCGAAUGCACUCCAAACUCGGUGAUGCCAUGCGGCUCAAACGCCUUCCUCACAUCCUCAUCCCGGCCGAACGCGAUAACGCCGACACUACGACGCCCGGCCAACACCUUGACGCCAGCAGUGUCGACUGCCGCUGCUACGUCCUUGUACCCUCCGAUCGUGCAUACGACCUUGCGGCACACGGUCGGCGAAUAUAUGACCGGGA
rnacentral:misc_RNA from 1 species